UUUGUGUAGGUACCGCAGCUUCCGGGUGUGUUCAGCGGUGGUUUAUAUAUAUAUUUGAUGCAUUGUGUUUUAUGACAGGUUAAAAGGCUUCUGGGAGUUAUAUAUUGUCAAAACGAACCGAAUAUUUGGUCGUGGAAAACCCAAAGCACCUCCUCCUAAUCUAUCGGACUGCAUAGAAAAUGUGGAUGCCAGGGCGGAGUUUAUGGAUCAGAAGAUCUCUCGUCUGGACGCUGAACUGAUUAAGUAUAAAGACCAAAUGAAGAAGAUGAGAGAAGGACCCUCUAAGGAUGGUGUUCUGGUGGAUGAGUUUGGUCUGCCACAGAUCCCUGCAACAUAAAACUACAGAUCCCUGCUACAUAAAACUACAGAUCCCUGCUACAUAAAACUACAGAUCCCUGCUACAUAAAACUACAGAUCCCUGCUACAUAAAACUACAGAUCCCUGCUACAAAAAACUACAGAUCCCUGCUACAUAGAACUACAGAUCCCUGCUACAUAAAACUACAGAUCCCUGCUACAUAAAACUACAGAUCCCUGCUACAUAAAACUACAGAUCCCUGCUACAUAAAACUACAGAUCCCUGCUACAUAAAACUACAGAUCCCUGCAUCAUAAAACUACAGAUCCCUGCUACAUAAAACUACAGAUCCCUGCUACAUAGGACUACAGAUCCCUGCUACAUAAUACUACAGAUCCCUGCUACAUAGAACUACAGAUCCCUGCUACAUAAAACUACAGAUCCCUGCUACAUAAAACUACAGAUCCCUGCUACAUAACACUACAGAUCCCUGCUACAUAAAACUACAGAUCCCUGCAUCAUAAAACUACAGAUCCCUGCUACAUAAAACUACAGAUCCCUGCAUCAUAAAACUACAGAUCCCUGCUACAUAAAACUACAGAUCCCUGCUACAUAAAACUACAGAUCCCUGCUACAUAGAACUACAGAUCCCUGCUACUUAGAACUACAGAUCCCUGCUACAUAAAACUACAGAUCCCUGCAUCAUAAAACUACAGAUCCCUGCUACAUAAAACUACAGAUCCCUGCUACAUAAAACUACAGAUCCCUGCUACAUAAAACUACAGAUUUCUGCUACAUAAAACUACAAAUCCCUGCUACACUUUUAUAUGUAGAGCAACAUUUAUACGUUACAAUGAUCUGACCUGAGAACAGGUUACAUAACGUACUACCACUGUAUUACUAAGGUAUUGAUGCUGUUUUGGAGAGGAGUUUAUAUUGUUACCGAUAGGGUUUACGUUUACCUAAAGCCGUCCCUUUAAAUUUGGUUUACCUUUAAUUAGAAUGUUCUCGCCAGACUCAGUGGAGGUUCAGAGUAUUACGGAUCAAUGAUACAAAGACUCAUACAUUUUCUUCCUUUUCAGCACCAAUUGUUAGAUUUUUAAAUGCUCUGAUCUUGUCUAUUAUUUCGGGUUAGGAAAGUAGAAACCGGUUUGGAAAGUAGAAUCCGGUUUGGAAAGUAGAAACCGGUUUGGAAAGUAGAAACCGGUUUGGAAAGUAGAAACCGGUUAGGAAAGUAGAAACCGGUUAGGAAAGUAGAAACCGGUUUGGAAAGUAGAAACCGGUUUGGAAAGUAGAAACCGGUUAGGAGAACCUUUAAGCAGUAAAUAUAUUGGUGAAUAAAACCUACAGUGGUUUGAUUCAUCCUGAAAGUUGUCAUAUUCAGUUGUUCAAUCCAUGAAGUAUUGGAAGGGGAGAAAAGUGUACAACAGGGGUUGACCAGUAGUCCUAUAAAACUAUCCUAAUAAUCAUCACUAAUCGUGGAACUGUGGUGACAACGGCCAGUCGUCUUGAACCACCAGGCUCCAGGUAUAUACUGCUAUGUGUGGUCUGCGUUUCAUAAUGAUUCACAUCAUAGGCGAAAUUACCCCAACAUUCAGAACGGGUCAAUCCCCCCUCCCCCCCCCCCUAAUCAUUUCUUUAAAUAAAUAAAAAAUGAUUGCAGGCAAUGCGUUUUAAAAUGUUUUACAAAUAUUGCCCUUGAUUGAAAUAGGCUAAAGGUCCCAAAUUACAUUACAUUUAAGUCAUUUAGCAGACGCUCUUAUCCAGAGUGACUUACUCAUCCUGGUCCCCCCGUGGGAAUUGAACCCUGGUCCCCCCGUGGGAAUUGAACCCACAACCCUGGCGUUGCAAGCGCCAUGCUCUACCAACUGAGCCAUACGGGACCGUAUGAUUGUACAACUUGUAAAACAUUAGCUUAAUAUGAUCUACUAUUGCUAGCGUCCCUCAGGAACAGCCACACCAACAUGAGAGGGAAGAAAGGUCAACUAACAAUGGAAUGGUGCAACAUGUAAGGAAACUAACAUUAACUAAUCCUUGCGACAGAUCCUUGUUAUCAUGCUGAAACAUGAGGUGAUGGAGGAGGAUAAAUGGCACAGCAAUGGGCUUCAGGAACUCGUUACAGUAUCUCUGUGUGUUCAAAUUUCCAUAGAUAAAAUGCAGUUGUGUUCAUUGUCCGUAGCUUAUGCCUGCCCAUAGCAUAACCCCACCGUUACCAUGGGGCACUCUGUUCACAACGUUGACAUCAGGAAACCACUCACCCACACGAUGCCAUUCAUCCGUGUAGAGCACACGUCUCCAGCGUGCCAGUUGCCAUCGCAGGUGAGCAUUUGCCCACUGAGGUCAGCUAUGACGCCGAACUGCAGUCAGGUCAAGACCCUGGUGAGGAUGACGAGCACGCCGAUGUGCUUCUCUGAGACAGUUUUCUGACAGUUUGUGCAGAAAUUCUUCAGUUGUGCAAACCCCACAGUUCCAUCAGCUGUCCAGGUGGCUGGUCUCAGAUGAUCUCGCAGCUGAAGAACAAAGACGGUGACUGAUGGAGUGCUGCAUCAGAUGACCUGUCCUCCACAAUCAGCCGGCCCCAAUUGAGAUGGUCUGGGAUGAGUUGGACCGCAGACUGAAGGAAAAGCAGUUAACAAGUGCUCAGCAUAUGUUGGAACUCCUUCAAGACUUUUGGAAAAACAUUCCAGGUGAAGCUGGUUGAGAGAAUGCCAAGAGUGUGCAAAGCUCUCAUCAAAGCAAAGGGUGGCUACUUUGAAGAAUCUAAAAUAUAUUUUGAUUUGUUUAACACUUUUUUGGUUACUUCAUGAUUCCAUAUAUGUUAUUUCAUAGUUUUGAUGUCUUCACUAUUAUUCUACAAUGUAGAAAAUUGUAAAAAUAAAGAAAAACCCUUGAAUGAGUAUUUGUGUCAUGUACAUGGUGAGAUCUUUAAUAAUAAACUAAACCGACACUUCAACUAACACGUAACAUGUCGACAUUUUUAAGGCGUUCAUGGUAAGAUCUUUCAUAAUAAACUUACAAGCAAACCGACAGGUGAUGUGUCUUACACUACGUCUACAUGACAUGUACGUGUCAUGUAAGGUUUGACACCUUAGAAAAAAAAACAUGUCUCCAUUGAUAGUUCAUGUUAAUUGAUAGAGGUAUUUUAUGAAAGACGUUAGGUGACUUGGUGAGAGGUGUCAGUAGCUUCACGAGGCUUAAUUCUGGCACUUAUCACCACCCAUAUGCUCCUCCUAUAACACCAUGAGUAACACACACGUCAGGUCAUGUUGGAAACUUAUGCCGUGUUCAAAACAACUGGGAACUCUGAAAAAUACGAGUUCAAAUCAUGACGUCAGUGAUUUUCAGGUCGGAGAGUCGGAGCUCUAGAAAGAGCCCUGAGUUCCAAGUCAGAAUUCCAAGUUGGAUGACCGUUCAAAUAGAUUUUUCCCAGUGGGAGCUAGUUAUUUUCAGAGUACCCAGUUGUUUAAAAAGCACUGAAGUCUGAGAUUUCCGAGUUCCAAAAUCCCUGUUUUGAAUGCGGCAAUAG